CUGCUCAGUAACACGUAGUUAACCUAACCUAUGGACGGGGAUAACCUCGGGAAACUGAGAAUAAUCCCCGAUAGAUCACGGUGCCUGGAAUGGCCUGUGGUUCAAAUGAUUUAUCGCCGUAGGAUGGGACUGCGGCCUAUCAGCUAGUUGGUGAGGUAAUGGCCCACCAAGGCUAUAACAGGUACGGGCUCUGAGAGGAGGGGCCCGGAGAUGGGUACUGAGACACGGACCCAGGCCCUAUGGGGCGCAGCAGGCGAGAAACCUUUGCAAUGUGCGAAAGCACGACAAGGUUAAUCCGAGUGUCUCCUGCUAAAGGAGUCUUUUGCCGGUCAUAGAACCACCGGUGAAUAAGGGGUGGGCAAGUCCUGGUGUCAGCCGCCGCGGUAAAACCAGCACCUCGAGUGGUCAGGAGGUUUAUUGGGCCUAAAGCAUCCGUAGCCGGCUGCUCAAGUUUUCGGUUAAAUCUAUGCGCUCAACGUAUAGGCCGCCGAAAAUACUGGGCAGCUAGGGAGUGGGAGAGGUACACGGUACUCAAUAGGAAGGGGUAAAAUCCUUUGAUCUAUUGAUGACCACCUGUGGCGAAGGCGGUGUACCAGAACACGUUCGACGGUGAGGGAUGAAAGCUGGGGGAGCAAACCGGAUUAGAUACCCGGGUAGUCCCAGCUGUAAACGAUGCAGACUCGGUGAUGCAUUGGCUUGUGGCCAAUGCAGUGCCGCAGGGAAGCCGUUAAGUCUGCCGCCUGGGAAGUACGUACGCAAGUAUGAAACUUAAAGGAAUUGGCGGGGGAGCACCACAANGGGGUGAAGCCUGCGGUUCAAUUGGAGUCAACGCCAGAAAUCUUACCUGGGCGAC
rnacentral:rRNA from 1 species